AUUCCUCCCAGGCAUCAAAAAUAUUCUUGAUAAGCUCAACACCUGUAUCCGUUGUUGAAACCACAUACAAGUAUACACGACCGUCUAGUGUUUUUUGCUUUAUAUUUUAUUGCACUUUAAAAUUCAAUUCGAAAUCUCAUCGCAAUCCAUUACGCUGUUUAGGAGAAGAAUCAAAAAACAUUUUGACAAAAUUUUUAAAUGUUAAACAUAAUAUGCAAGUCUUUGUAAUCGUUAUCGAAAAUAUUUUUACAUUCAAAGUUAAUUUCAUGCUGCGCAUAUAUACAAUUAAUUUAUAUCACGGCUUUAUUGUUUUCAAAUAAUCUACAAGAAUAUGGUUUGUAUAAAGUCAUAUUAUAGCAUCAUCAUUUUUACGUUUAUUUUUAUGAAUGCUUAUAUUAUGACAGAUGGGAACAAUCGCCUAGAAGAGCAUCAAACUAUUGCAGUCCGAACGAAAUAUAAAUCAGAUCAUUUAUUUGAAACAAGCAAAAGUAAAGCUAUUGAAAAUUUACUAAGCAGUAUUAAGAAACCGGUAAAUAGCGCUAAGAAUUUUAUUAAAGAGUCUUACAACAAAGUACGGGAUGGUGUGAAAAAAUUUUUCAAUUGUUUACUACAAUAAUGUCGCCGAUAUUGAACAUUUAUAACUAGUGAUUUAGUGAAUCCAGCCCGCAUUCAGUAAUAAGAAACCACCACCAUUUUUUAUUGUAACAUACCUGUUUUUUUUUUUCAUCGAACACGUUUUUAUUUAUUUUUACGUAGUCUUUGUAAUGUUUGUUAUUUUUGAUAAUAUACCAUAGAAAUUGCAGAA